CAGCCGCCGCGGUAAUACGGAGGGCGCGAGCGUUGUCCGGAUUCACUGGGCGUAAAGCGCGCGCAGGCGGUCCUUUAAGUCUGAUGUGAAAUCUUGCGGCUCAACCGUAAGCGGUCAUUGGAAACUGGGGGACUUGAGUGCAGGAGAGGAAAGCGGAAUUCCAUGUGUAGCGGUGAAAUGCGUAGAGAUAUGGAGGAACACCAGUGGCGAAGGCGGCUUUCUGGCCUGUAACUGACGCUGAGGCGCGAAAGCGUGGGGAGCAAACAGGAUUAGAUACCCUGGUAGUCCACGCCGUAAACGAUGAGUGCUAAGUGUUGGAGGGUUUCCGCCCUUCAGUGCUGCAGCUAACGCAUUAAGCACUCCGCCUGGGGAGUACGGUCGCAAGACUGAAACUUAAAGGAAUGGCGGG
rnacentral:rRNA from 1 species